CCCCUGUGGUGCUGGAUGCUGUUGUGCAUGAACAGCUCUCCAGUGGAUUCGAUGGGCCCCAGCAAUCUUGUGAUUUAUGCAGGGAGGGUGCUUCUCCUCAGCAGCUGCCAUAGCCCGGUCGCUGGUACAUGA
rnacentral:snoRNA from 1 species